UCCUGUGUGGCUCAGUUGGUAGAGCAUGGUGUUUGCAACGCCAGGGUUGUGGGUUCGAUUCCCACGGGGGAA
rnacentral:tRNA from 1 species